AAGAAAUAGAAGCUAUCUAGCAUAGAAAAAUCGUCUUAUUGAGAGAGCUUAAGGUAAAAAAUGAAAAAAUCAUCACGGCAAGUUUGGUUUUGCUUACGGUCUUCGAUCUGUUUGGUUUUAUUAUUUUAUCAAGCCAUCUAAUAUAUUUUGCUUACAAUCUUGUGUUUGGUUUUGUUAUAUUAUAUAUUUGAUCUUUAGAAAGUACUUGGACUAUGGCAAGUUCCGGAGAGAAUGGAUCAUCACGUCGUGGAGGUCUUUCAAGAAACAAAAGCAAAUCUACUUUUUAUAUUUGAACAUGAUUUUUUUUUUUUGGAUGAAAUGUUAAAUUAGUUAAGCACCAAAAUGAGAAUUAUAUAAAUAAUGAGUAGAAAAGAAAAAAUGUUUCAAUCAAAACUUUUAUUAGGUAAGAACCAGUCGAAUCCAACCCAGAUCGCUCACAUUCCAUAGAGGUUGUGGUCAAUCAGCUCAAGGUUGUCAGCUCAUGUUUCAAACUUUUGGGUUAAAAGAUGUCAUUUUAGAACAUAGAGUAAAAUCCGUGUAGAAUUCUACACAAGCAAGACUUGUCCAAUUUAAUUUAAUAAUUGUGGAUUUUUAUUAAGUCUUUUGCUACGGCGCUAUCCGUUUUUC
rnacentral:lncRNA from 1 species